rnacentral:ncRNA from 1 species
UAUAGCGUGUAAAUUGGCUAUAAAUUGGAUAAUAUUAAAUAUAAGUUUUUGCGUGGUUGAAUAUUUUAUCUAAAAGGUGAUUAUUGAUUUAUUAAUUGUAGUUUUUAAUUUUGAGGUUUGCGUAAGUGUAGAUUCAGUUAAUUAUGUUUAGAAUUGUAAAAAGUUGUGCCAGCAUAUGCGGUUAUACUUCUGAUUCAGGUCAAUUUUUUUGGUUUAUAUUCAUUUUGAUUAUUGAAAAUUAAUUUUAAUUUAUUAGGUGAAAUUUUUAAUUUAAUUUAUAUUUUUUUGGUUUAAGAAUAUAUGAAAUUCAGGUUUGUAAACUAGGAUUAGAUACCCUAUUAUUCUGAAUGUAAAGUUUGACCAUGGUACUAAUAGAUAUGAUCUUUAAAUUAAAAGAAUUUGGCGGUAAUUUAGUCUUUUCAGAGGAGCCUGUCCUGUAAUCGAUGAUCCACGUUGGAUUUUACUUUAUUUUAUUGUUUGUAUAUCUCUGUCAUUGAGUGUUUUAUUAGGAAAUUUUCUUUAAUUAUUAAUUUAAAUAAUGUCAGGUCAAGGUGCAGCUAUAAUGGAGGUUGAGAUGGGCUACAUUUAAUGUUAUUUAUUGGAAUAUUAUUGUUGGAUUUAAUUUAAUAUGAAAUAGGAUUUGAAAGUAAUUUUUAUUAAUUUAUAUAAAUGAUUAUGGCUCUAAAUUAUGUACACAUCGCCCGUCACUCUCGUUAAUAAGGCAAGAUAAGUCGUAACAAAGUAACUCUACCGGAAGGUGGGGUUUGAAUUAU